AGUCAAGUAAUUAAGUGCAUGUGGUGGAUGCCUUGGCAGUCAGAGGCGAUGAAAGACGUGAUAGCCUGCGAAAAGCUCCGGGGAGGCGGCAAAUAUCCUUUGAUCCGGAGAUGUCUGAAUGGGGGAACCCACCUACUUUAAGGUAGGUAUUGCAACAUGAAUACAUAGUGUUGCAAGGCGAACGAGGGGAAGUGAAACAUCUCAGUACCCUUAGGAAAAGAAAUCAAUUGAGAUUCCCUCAGUAGCGGCGAGCGAACGGGGAUCAGCCCAUUAAGUUAUGUGUGUUUUAGUGGAACGCUCUGGGAAGUGCGAACGUAGAGGGUGAUAUUCCCGUACACGAAAGGGCACACAUAAUGAUGACGAGUAGGGCGAGGCACGUGAAACCUUGUCUGAAUAUGGGGGGACCAUCCUCCAAGGCUAAAUACUCCUGACUGACCGAUAGUGAACCAGUACCGUGAGGGAAAGGCGAAAAGAACCCCUGUGAGGGGAGUGAAAUAGAUCCUGAAACCGCAUGCAUACAAGCAGUGGGAGCACCUUCGUGGUGUGACUGCGUACCUUUUGUAUAAUGGGUCAGCGACUUAUAUUCAGUAGCGAGGUUAACCGUAUAGGGGAGCCGUAGAGAAAUCGAGUCUUAAUAGGGCGUUUAGUUGCUGGGUAUAGACCCGAAACCAGGCGAUCUAUCCAUGAGCAGGUUGAAGGUUGGGUAACACUAACUGGAGGACCGAACCCACUGUCGUUGAAAAGCCAGGGGAUGACUUGUGGAUAGGGGUGAAAGGCUAAUCAAGCCUGGUGAUAGCUGGUUCUCCCCGAAAGCUAUUUAGGUAGCGCCUCGGACGAAUACCAUAGGGGGUAGAGCACUGUUUCGGCUAGGGGGUCAUCCCGACUUACCAAACCGAUGCAAACUCCGAAUACCUAUGAGUACUAUCCGGGAGACAGACUGCGGGUGCUAACGUCCGUAGUCAAGAGGAAAACAAUCCAGACCGCCAGCUAAGGCCCCAAAAUCAUAGUUAAGUGGGAAACGAUGUGGGAAGGCAUAGACAGCUAGGAGGUUGGCUUAGAAGCAGCCACCCUUUAAAGAAAGCGUAAUAGCUCACUAGUCGAGUCGGCCUGCGCGGAAGAUGUAACGGGGCUAAAACUAUGUGCCGAAGCUGCGGAUGUAUACUUUGUAUACGUGGUAGGGGAGCGUUCUGUAAGCCGAUGAAGGUGUGUUGAGAAGCAUGCUGGAGGUAUCAGAAGUGCGAAUGCUGACGUGAGUAACGACAAAACGGGUGAAAAACCCGUUCGCCGAAAGACCAAGGGUUCCAGUCCAACGUUAAUCGGGGCUGGGUGAGUCGACCCCUAAGGCGAGGCCGAAAGGCGUAGUCGAUGGGAAAAUGGUUAAUAUUCCAUUACUUCUGUGUAAUGCGAUGAGAGGACGGAGAAGGCUAAAUCAGCCUGGCGUUGGUUGUCCAGGUGAAAGGAUGUAGGCAUGUAUCUUAGGCAAAUCCGGGGUACUCUAUGCUGAGAUCUGAUAGCAAGCUGUACUUGUACAGCGAAGUGGUUGAUGCCAUGCUUCCAGGAAAAGUCUCUAAGCUUCAGUUACACAGGAAUCGUACCCGAAACCGACACAGGUGGU
rnacentral:rRNA from 1 species